AACGAACGCUGGCGGCAGGCUUAACACAUGCAAGUCGAACGGACUGAGGGAGCUUGCUCCCAAAGUUAGUGGCGGACGGGUGAGUAACGCGUGGGUAACCUGCCCUAUGCAGGGGGAUAACGUUUGGAAACGAACGCUAAUACCGCAUAACCUAGUUGGUUCGCAUGAACUGACUAGCAAAGAUUUUAUCGGCAUAGGAUGGACCCGCGUUAGAUUAGCUAGGUGGUGAGAUAACAGCCCACCAAGGCGACGAUCUAUAGCCGGCCUGAGAGGGUGAACGGCCAGACGGGGACUGAGACACGGCCAAGACUCAUACGGGAGGCAGCAGUGGGGAAUAUUGCACAAUGGGCGCAAGCCUGAUGCAGCGACGCCGCGUGAAGGAUGAAGGUCUUCGGAUCGUAAACUUCUAUCAGCAGGGAAGAAUACCAUGACGGUACCUGACUAAGAAGCCCCGGCUAACUACGUGCCAGCAGCCGCCGUAACAC
rnacentral:rRNA from 1 species